GAGGCAGUGAAAUUGUGUGACUGCAGUUACACAGAGCUGCAGUUCUGUGCUGCAUCUUCAAAGGGGGUGGCUGCGGAGACCAUGGGACUUUGUCUAAUGAGACAGUGAAACUGGAUACGUAUGGAGGCCACUGGCUAUCAUGAGGAGGAAAAUUUAUGUAUCAUCUAUGAAGGUGCCCAUCUGAAUGAGGUCUCUGUUGACUUACCCGCGGGCCGGGACAAGUGGCGCCCAACGUGGGGCCAGAGAACGGGGGAUCCAGUGAAGGACGCUGCUCAGGGGCCCUAAGAUUAAGAUUGAGGAACAAAGAGCAUACUCGACAUAGAAGAGGCUUGCGAUUGACGUGGACCUGCCGUCUUUUUGCACCUCGGAAACAUCGUCAUCAUUUAAAGUUUGGACCUCCGGCGCACAAUAAAGAGGGAACUCAUGAAGGACAUCUGGCUGAAUGAACGAUCCGAAAACAAGAAUAGGAUGAGCUGGAAAUGCCUAGUUCCCCUGAUAUUGCUGACCAGGGUAUGGGUGGUGUCGCCUUCAGAAGGGUUAGACCACAUGAAAAAUAUAUGGAUUCAGUUGGCAGGCUCGCUCAACUUGUCUGAGUUUUGUCUAAGUGCUGAUGUAAACUUUCAUUAUAUGUUGGGAAGUUGCCUCGUUCCUGUAUGUACCCCAUUGGAAUCAUUGCGGCCUUAUACUCUGUUUAAAGAUAUCCCAGG
rnacentral:lncRNA from 1 species